UACGUAGGGUGCAAGCGUUAAUCGGAAUUACUGGGCGUAAAGCGUGCGCAGGCGGUUGUGCAAGACAGAUGUGAAAUCCCCGGGCUUAACCUGGGAACUGCAUUUGUGACUGCACGGCUAGAGUGUGUCAGAGGGGGGUAGAAUUCCACGUGUAGCAGUGGAAUGCGUAGAUAUGUGGAGGAAUACCGAUGGCGAAGGCAGCCCCCUGGGAUAACACUGACGCUCAUGCACGAAAGCGUGGGGAGCAAACAGG
rnacentral:rRNA from 1 species